UGUCUGAAUCUUAGCACCACAAAACUCUAGCUUUAGAAAUAUCACACUUUUCAAUAUAUACUUCAUUUAAUUGGAAGUCAGAGUAUUUAGAGGGCAGAGCCCUCCAGUGCCUGCUGAGCUGGUAUCAGUGUGUGAACAGAGAGCUGGCUCAGCUCAGCAGGAACAGGAGUCCUGCCCCAUCCACCAUCCACUCCUCUGACUCCUCCCAUACUGUCUGGGAAUCUAAAAUUUAUACGCCUUUGAUGAAAUAUGAACUCUAUUGGAUAUGCAAGGCUGGGAAUAAGUUCUGCUGCAUUUCUAAUAAGUGCUCUAUCUGUUUAUAUCCAUCACUCCACCACAGGCGAGGCCUCUAAGUCUGUCACGUCAUCAGUCAGAUCUGACUAUUGAUAUAUGUGACAUUUUGCCUUUUAACCUAAUUCUGCCUGCUUUUCUUGUACUUGCAGGAAAAAAAAAACAGCCUGUGGUGUUCCCGGGCGUUUGCAGCCGGUCAUGGUGAAUUAUGGCCAGCUCCUUAUUUUAGGCCUCUUUGUCACCUCCAUUUACGUGUGACUAAUGGUCAUCAUAUAUCUCAGGUUGCAGUAAGAGCAGGGUGAGAUUUACAGCUGAAUGGGAAACGGGAGCCUCGAGGUUUCAAACGGCUGUCCGCUUUCAAGACAAUAAACUACGUCACUUGUGUUUCUGUGAGAUAAACCAGGUCAUUCAGGUCCCUUGAUCACUGCAUGGCUUAUGAAAUUGGAGCUCUUCAUUACAUGACAGGGUUCCAGGCUAAUGUGCAAUGCUAAUAUUGGCAACAAAAUGAUGGUCUUGUGCAAAAUAUAUAGUUUCUGUUCUUCAAA